UGCAAGUCGAGCGGCAGCGCGGGGGCAACCCUGGCGGCGAGCGGCGAACGGGUGAGUAACACAUCGGAACGUACCCAGUUGUGGGGGAUAGCCCGGCGAAAGCCGGAUUAAUACCGCAUACGACCUGAGGGUGAAAGGGGGGGAUCGCAAGACCUCUCGCAGUUGGAGCGGCCGAUGGCGGAUUAGCUAGUUGGUGGGGUAAAGGCUCACCAAGGCGACGAUCCGUAGCUGGUCUGAGAGGACGACCAGCCACACUGGAACUGAGACACGGUCCAGACUCCUACGGGAGGCAGCAGUGGGGAAUUUUGGACAAUGGGGGCAACCCUGAUCCAGCCAUUCCGCGUGAGUGAAGAAGGCCUUCGGGUUGUAAAGCUCUUUCGGCAGGAACGAAACGGUGUGGGCCAAUACCCCAUAUCAAUGACGGUACCUGAAGAAGAAGCACCGGCUAACUACGUGCCAGCAGCCGCGGUAAUACGUAGGGUGCGAGCGUUAAUCGGAAUUACUGGGCGUAAAGCGUGCGCAGGCGGUUUUGUAAGACAGGUGUGAAAUCCCCGGGCUUAACCUGGGAACUGCGCUUGUGACUGCAAGACUGGAGUGUGGCAGAGGGGGGUGGAAUUCCACGUGUAGCAGUGAAAUGCGUAGAGAUGUGGAGGAACACCGAUGGCGAAGGCAGCCCCCUGGGUCAACACUGACGCUCAUGCACGAAAGCGUGGGGAGCAAACAGGAUUAGAUACCCUGGUAGUCCACGCCCUAAACGAUGCGAACUAGGUGUUGGAGAAGGAGACUUCUUUAGUACCGUAGCUAACGCGUGAAGUUCGCCGCCUGGGGAGUACGGUCGCAAGAUUAAAACUCAAAGGAAUUGACGGGGACCCGCACAAGCGGUGGAUGAUGUGGAUUAAUUCGAUGCAACGCGAAAAACCUUACCUACCCUUGACAUGCCUCGAAUCCUGCAGAGAUGUGGGAGUGCUCGAAAGAGAGCGAGGACACAGGUGCUGCAUGGCUGUCGUCAGCUCGUGUCGUGAGAUGUUGGGUUAAGUCCCGCAACGAGCGCAACCCUUGUCAUUAGUUGCCAUCAUUCAGUUGGGCACUCUAAUGAGACUGCCGGUGACAAACCGGAGGAAGGUGGGGAUGACGUCAAGUCCUCAUGGCCCUUAUGGGUAGGGCUUCACACGUCAUACAAUGGUCGGUACAGAGGGUUGCCAAGCCGCGAGGUGGAGCCAAUCCCAGAAAGCCGAUCGUAGUCCGGAUCGCAGUCUGCAACUCGACUGCGUGAAGUCGGAAUCGCUAGUAAUCGUGAUUCAG
rnacentral:rRNA from 1 species